UGCUUAACCAUGAGUACAGUGGCGCACGGGUGAGUAACACGUGACUACCUGCCUUUCAGUGGGGGAUAACCUAGGGAAACCUGGGCUAAUACCGCAUAAUAUCGCGAGAUCAAAGGAGCAAUUCGCUGAAAGAGGGGGUCGCGGCUGAUUAGCUAGUUGGUAGGGUAAUGGCUCACCUAGGCUUAGACGGGUAGCUGGUCUGAGAGGAUGAUCAGCCACACUGGAACUGAGACACGGUCCAGACUCCUACGGGAGGCAGCAGUGGGGAAUAUUGGGCAAUGGGCGCAAGCCUGACCCAGCCAUGCCGCGUGAGUGAUGAAGGCCUUCGGGUCGUAAAGCUCUGUGGGGAGGGACGAAGCAGCACGGUGCAAAUACCACCGGGCCCUGACGGUACCUCCUUAGCAAGCACCGGCUAACUCCGUGCCAGCAGCCGCGGUAAUACAGAGGGUGCAAACGUUGCUCGGAAUCAUUGGGCGUAAAGCGCACGUAGGCGGCCUGUUAAGUCGGAUGUGAAAUCCCAGGGCUCAACCCUGGAAGUGCAUUCGAAACUGGCAGGCUUGAAUAUGGAAGAGGGUCGCGGAAUUCCCGGUGUAGAGGUGAAAUUCGUAGAUAUCGGAAGGAACACCAGUGG
rnacentral:rRNA from 1 species